AUUGAACGCUGGCGGCAUGCCUUACACAUGCAAGUCGAACGGCAGCACGGGAGCAAUCCUGGUGGCGAGUGGCGAACGGGUGAGUAAUACAUCGGAACGUGCCCAGUAGUGGGGGAUAGCCCGGCGAAAGCCGGAUUAAUACCGCAUACGACCUGAGGGUGAAAGCGGGGGAUCGCAAGACCUCGCGCUAUUGGAGCGGCCGAUGUCAGAUUAGGUUGUUGGUGGGGUAAAGGCCUACCAAGCCGACGAUCUGUAGCUGGUCUGAGAGGACGACCAGCCACACUGGGACUGAGACACGGCCCAGACUCCUACGGGAGGCAGCAGUGGGGAAUUUUGGACAAUGGGCGCAAGCCUGAUCCAGCCAUGCCGCGUGCGGGAAGAAGGCCUUCGGGUUGUAAACCGCUUUUGUCAGGGAAGAAACGCGCCGGGUUAAUACCCUGGUGUAAUGACGGUACCUGAAGAAUAAGCACCGGCUAACUACGUGCCAGCCGCCGCCGUAAUAC
rnacentral:rRNA from 1 species